AUUGAACGCUGGCGGCAGGCCUAACACAUGCAAGUCGAACGGUAGCACAGAGAGCUUGCUCUUGGGUGACGAGUGGCGGACGGGUGAGUAAUGUCUGGGAAACUGCCCGAUGGCGGGGGAUAACUACUGGAAACGGUAGCUAAUACCGCAUAACGUCUUCGGACCAAAGUGGGGGACCUUCGGGCCUCACACCAUCGGAUGUGCCCAGAUGGGAUUAGCUAGUAGGUGGGGUAAUGGCUCACCUAGGCGACGAUCCCUAGCUGGUCUGAGAGGAUGACCAGCCACACUGGAACUGAGACACGGUCCAGACUCCGACGGGAGGCAGCAGUGGGGAAUAUUGCACAAGGGGCGCAAGCCUGAUGCAGCCAUGCCGCGUGUAUGAAGAAGGCCUUCGGGUUGUAAAGUACUUUCAGCGGGGAGGAAGGCGAUGAGGUUAAUAACCGCAUCGAUUGACGUUACCCGCAGAAGAAGCACCGGCUAACUCCGUGCCAGCCGCCGCGGUAA
rnacentral:rRNA from 1 species